GUCACAGCCUAGUGCGACUGCCCCCACACCGUAAUAACGUGGUGUGAUUUCUUUAUUAUUGUUGGUGGUGGUUUCUUAAUGGUGUGGAGUCUUAGAAUUUGAUGGAUGUUUUUGUUUUGAGUUUGAAUUUUGGUAACCCUAAAUCAACUCAGAUAUCUCACUCACCCACUCGUAACCGCCAUCUUCCAUCUGAAAAUCUGGGGUGAUAAGACAAACCUUCUAUUGUUCAUUACUAUAGAUUUGCGUUUCGAAUCUAUUACAAAGUUGAUGGAGACUGGAUUUGAUUCAAACUGUGGUGGUUGUGUUUGGUUUCCUUUGUUUUUGAUUUGUUAUACGUGUUUCCAAAGAUCGAUGGUGGCUGGAUUUGAUUCACAUAUAUAUAAAGCGAUUUGAUUUGUGUUUCUAAUGGCUGUGUAAUCUGCAAGGUGUGGCCGGCGCGUCGAUUCCUUCAUCGGAAACUACCCCGUUACAACCUUUCUUCUCAUCGUCACCUCCUCCCCGAAACCCCCAAUAGCCCUAACACCGCUCACUUGCCUAUCUCUGCCCUCCUCUCUAGGGUUUGUUUCUUCUCAAGGGUUUGUUUCUUUGUGAAAUUGGUAAUUGCCCCUGCGCGCACACCGGUGACCCCAUCGUCGGAUUUUGAAGAGUUGUUGGGUUUUUUUUUUUACUGUUGAUUGGAAUUGAUUGAAUGGUGGGUUGAUUGAUUAAAAAAAUUAGACUAUAUGGAGGCGGUGGAGUUGGUGGUGGUAGUGGAGCAAGAGGAGGCGGUGGAGUUGGUGGUGGUUCUGGCCACGACGGAGGCUAAGAAGAGAAGAGUAAGAAUGGUUGUUUUGGAGGUAAGAAUGUUGGUUGGAGGAGUUGUUUCUGGAAUGGAAGUCAGAAUGUUUGUUGGGGGUAAGAAUGGUGGUUGGAGGUGAGUUAAUCAAUUGGUUUUUAAAUAUACGACUGGACACGGUUUUAGUUGAGACCAAUUUGUCAUUGCCAAGCUUGAAGUUUGCUUCCUCUUGGAAUUAUGUCAAGGGUCGCUACUUCAGGAACUCAUGCAGAGCCACCAGCUCUGAUCGCUCUACCACCUCCCCAAUAGACACCAAAAUCCUCCUCCAGCUGUGGUGGAUCCUCCAACACCUCCUCCUCCAAGUGGGUCCGAAAAAUGGUAUGCAUGAGAUGGUGUUCUAUAUGAUAAUAACUAAUUAUCAGUUUUGUCAAUUAUACAUCAGUUACAAUCAAAACAAAAUCAAUAGGCCCGUUUGUUACCUUGUUUGAAAUAUAAUAUUCUGAAAACUAUUCUGAAUAAGAUAUGAUAGGAUUAUGAGAAAACAUUUAGAUUAUUUUUUAACUCCUCACAUUUGUUAAUUUCCCUCACAAUAAAAGUUUAUAAAUUAACAAAAACAUCUCCAUCCACCCAACUGACGGUCAAUAGUUGGUCACCACCGUCGUACGGCGGUUGGAAGUCGUUGGAAUAAUGCACGACUGAUUGGAUUUGGCCGGUCAUGCGUCGAUCUAGCAUUUUCCGACUAGAUCUACUAUUUAUUUGGUCGAAAACUGUUAGAUUCAUGAUGCAUUUGGUCGGAAACGUCUAGAUUCGGUCGAUCGUGUGCCGUUCUGAUGGCGACUGGCGAUCGACAGUGGUUGUUGACAAGAGAUAGUGGUUUAGAUGUUUUUGUUAAUUUAUAAACUUUUAUUGUGAAAUGUAAUUGUUAAAUGUUUUAAAUAAAAUAAAAUAUGGUUGAAUUUUAAAUUAAAUAGUUAAUAUUAAAACUAUAGGAUAGGAUAAUA